rfam:Nicotiana sylvestris Nsyl_contig138063, whole genome shotgun sequence.
ACACUUAGUUGGACGGGAUUUAUGGGCGAUCAAGACGACCCAUGGCCGAGGUUGGUGACCUCCACUGGGGUGCCCUCCUAAGGUCGGCUCAAGUGGCCAAAUCUAUGUCAUAAUUUGGGACAGCGGGGGCCUGCAUUCGUGCAGCCCCUAC